GGAGUUUGAAGGAAGAAGGGAUGCAAUGUUUCAUCAAACCACCCUUCCUAGCUUGGAUGAGGCUAUUGCAGCUAUGGCACAGGAGGAGCUUAAGAAGAAAGUAUUGCCUAGUGCCACACCAUCUUCACCAAGCCCCACCUAUGUAGUUGCACAAAGUAAAGAGACCAGGGAGUGCUUCAAUUGUGGUGAAAUGGGGCACCUUAUACGUGAUUAUCGCGCUCCUCGCAAGCCUAGUUAUGGGAGAGGAAGAUUUGGUGAUAGGGGUGGAGCAAGAGGUGGAAGAGGUUAUGCAGGUAGAGGUAACAGAGGUAGAGGCUAUGAGUAUAGAAGUGAUCACAGAGCUAAUGUGGUCACGCUUGAAGAGAGUUGUUCUGGAUCUACAAAUGUUGAUGUUGCCAAUCUUGUUCAUUCUUCCUCAGGAGAGGGAAACAGGGAAGAAACUUGGGAUUGGCGUCAGGCGUGAUGGACUUUGGUAUUUGGAUCGAAAGGAGACAAGUGAAGAUGUAUGUCUUGCAUUGAUGGCUCCUACAAGUGAAGAAGAGGCUAAGGUAUUACUUUUGCAUUGUCGACUGGGGCACAUAUCUUUUGAAACUAUGAGUAAGAUGUUCCCAGCAGAACUAAGUAGAGUGGAUAAACAUAAGUUAGUAUGUGAUGCAUGUGAGUAUGGAAAACAUACAAGAACAUCAUAUGUGAGUAGAGGACUCCGAAGUAUGUUACCAUUUAUGCUAAUUCACUCAGAUGUUUGGACUUCACCUGUGGUCUCUAUGAGUGGAAUGAAGUAUUUUGUUACCUUUAUUGAUUGCUACUCUCGCAUGACAUGGUUAUAUCUUAUGAGACAUAAGGAUGAGGUGCUUAAAUGUUUUCUAAAUUUCUAUGCAUACAUUAAAAAUCAUUUUAAUGCUCGGGUCCAGUUUAUUAGAACUGAUAAUGGAGGGGAGUAUAUAAACAAUGAAUUUAGUAGCUUUCUUUCAUCAGAAGGAAUAUUGCAUCAAACUUCUUGUCCUGAUACUCCUCCACAAAAUGGGGUGGCUGAGAG